rnacentral:rRNA from 1 species
UAAACUAGGAUUAGAUACCCUAUUAUUUAAAAUGUAACUUUAAUCACUAAGGUAGUAGUAGUUAUGUUCUUGAAACUUAAAAAAUUUGGCGGUAUUUUAGUCUAUUCAGAGGAACCUGUCCUGUAAUUGAUAAUCCACGAUGUACCUUACUUAAAUUUGUUUUUCAGUUUAUAUACCGUCGUUAUCAGAAUAUUUUAUUAGAAUAAUAAUUUUCUAUAAUUUUUACAAGAAUUUAUAUCAGAUCAAGGUGUAGCUUAUGUUUAAGUAGAGAUGGGUUACAAUAAAUUUAUUUAAAUGGAUUUAAUUUUGAAAUGAUUAGUGAAGGUGGAUUUGAUAGUAAAAUUUUAAAGAUUGUUAAUUUGAUUUUAGCUCUAGAAUAUGCACACAUCGCCCGUCGCUCUUGCUAUUAAGGCAAGAUAAGUCGUAACAUAGUA